UGAGACACUAGGGGACACUGGGAUACCUGGGGACACUGAGAUACUUGGGGACACUGGGAGACAUGGGGACACUGAGACACUAGGGGACACUGUGAGACACGGGGACGCUGAGGCACAUGGGGACACUGUGAGACAUUGCAGUAAUACCGGCAGGUAUUUUUCUCAGUAUAAAUGGAGAUUACUCUGCAAUACCAGCACCGGCCAUGGGGACACUGUGAG